UACGGGGGGAGCAAGCGUUGUUCGGAUUUACUGGGCGUAAAGGGCGCGUAGGCGGCACCGCAAGUCGACUGUGAAAUCUCCGGGCUUAACUCGGAAAGGUCAGCCGAUACUGCGGGGCUAGAGUGCAGAAGGGGCAACUGGAAUUCUCGGUGUAGCGGUGAAAUGCGUAGAUAUCGAGAGGAACACCUGCGGCGAAGGCGGGUUGCUGGGCUGACACUGACGCUGAUGCGCGAAAGCGUGGGGAGCAAACGGG
rnacentral:rRNA from 1 species